UAGGCAGCCAAUGGUUGACGUGCUGUUAUGAAUGCUGCCUGACCACGCGCGCGACAUGCACGAGACGGACAGACACAAUUUUAUUGAGACUAUUUUGUGGAUACGAGAGAAGAGGACGAUUUCUGGUGUGGAGAAGAUUUUCGUCUACAUUUGACCGUUUCCCCAUCUCCUCCCAUACCAUGGGCCCAGAGGAGCAUGACCACCUGGGUGAGGAGUUUCUGAAUUAUCAGACCAUGCCAACCACC
rnacentral:lncRNA from 1 species